AGAAUCAACGCUGGCGGCGUGCCUAACACAUGCAAGUCGAACGAGAAAGUGGAGCAAUCCAUGAGUAAAGUGGCGCACGGGUGAGUAACACGUGACUAACCUACCCUUGAGUGGGGGAUAACCUAGGGAAACCUGGGCUAAUACCGCAUAAUACCUUCGGGUCAAAGGAGCAAUUCGCUUAAGCGAGGGGGUCGCGGCCGAUUAGUUAGUUGGCGGGGUAAUGGCCCACCAAGACGAUGAUCGGUAUCCGGCCUGAGAGGGCGCACGGACACACUGGAACUGAAACACGGUCCAGACUCCUACGGGAGGCAGCAGUGGGGAAUUUUGCGCAAUGGGGGAAACCCCUGACGCAGCAACGCCGCGUGGAGGAUGAAGUCCCUUGGGACGUAAACUCCUUUCGAUCGGGACGAUUAUGACGGUACCGGAAGAAGAAGCCCGGCUAACUUCGUGCCAGCAGCCGC
rnacentral:rRNA from 1 species